rnacentral:rRNA from 1 species
UACAGAGGGUGCAAGCGUUAAUCGGAAUUACUGGGCGUAAAGCGCGCGUAGGUGGUUGGUUAAGUUGGAUGUGAAAGCCCCGGGCUCAACCUGGGAACUGCAUCCAAAACUGGCCGGCUAGAGUACGGUAGAGGGUGGUGGAAUUUCCUGUGUAGCGGUGAAAUGCGUAGAUAUAGGAAGGAACACCAGUGGCGAAGGCGACCACCUGGACUGAUACUGACACUGAGGUGCGAAAGCGUGGGGAGCAAACAGG